AAAUGAAGGAAGUAUGGUAAUGUGUAUAAAAAUUGAUCUGAGUCUUUAGGCCUGCCCUCCCUGAUGCCUUUCGACUUUGAUUCGGCAGUAUGGUUCAGCAGCAAAACG